rnacentral:rRNA from 1 species
UACGUAGGGGGCAAGCGUUGUCCGGAUUUACUGGGCGUAAAGAGCGCGUAGGCGGAGCGUCGUGUCCGGUCUGAAAGCCCCCGGCUCAACCGGGGAAGGUGGCUGGAAACUGGCGUUCUGGAGGGCGAUAGAGGAGUGCGGGAAUUCCGGGUGUAGCGGUGAAAUGACGUAGAUAUCCGGAGGAACACCAGUGGCGAAGGCGGCACUCUGGGACGGUACUGACGCUGAGACGCGAAAGCGUGGGGAGCAAACAGG